AAAACACUUUCAGCAACGGAUGUCUUGGUUCCCACAACGAUGAAGAACGCAGCGAAAUGCGAUACGUCAUGCGAAACGCAAUCUAUGUGAGUCAUCAAAAUUUUGAACGCACCUUGCACUACCUCGGUAGUAUGUCUGUUGGAGUGUCUGU
rnacentral:rRNA from 1 species